GACGAACGCUGGCGGCGUGCCUAAUACAUGCAAGUCGAACGCAGUGGGGACGGGUGAGUAACACGUGGGUAACCUCCCAUCAGAGGGGAUAACACUUGGCAACAGGCGCUAAACCCCUACUGAUGGAGGGACCCGGGGUGCAUUAGCUAGGUGGUGGGGUAACGGCUAACCAAGGCCACGAUGCCUAGCCGACCUGAGAGGGUGACCGGCCACACUGGGACUGAGACACGGCCCAGACUCCUACGGGAGGCAGCAGGAGGGAAUCUUGGGCAAUGGACGAAAGCCUGACCGAGCAACGCCGCGUGUAUGAAGAAGGUUUUCGGGUCGUAAAGCUCUGUUGGUGGGGAAGCGUUAUCUAACCAGAAAGCAACGGCUAACUACGUGCCAGCCGCCGCGGUAAUAC
rnacentral:rRNA from 1 species